GUGCUCACUUCGGCAGCACAUAUACUAAAAUUAGAACGAUACAGAGAAGAUUAGCAUGGCCCCUGUGCAAGGAUGACAUGAAAUUUGUGAAGCGUUUCAUAAAAAU
rnacentral:snRNA from 1 species